rnacentral:pre_miRNA from 1 species
UCGUCAUCGUCAUGAUGAUGAUGAUGAUGAUGAUGAUGAUCAUCAUCAUCAUCAUCAUCAUCAUCAUCAUCAUCA